AGAGUUGAUCAUGGCUCAGGAUGAACGCUGGCGGCGUGCUUAACACAUGCAAGUCGAACGGGGUUUUAACGGAAGUCCUCGGAUGGAGGUUAGAACUAGUGGCGGACGGGUGAGUAACGCGUGGGUAACCUGCCUCAUACAGGGGGAUAACAGUCGGAAACGAUUGCUAAAACCGCAUAACAUAGCGAAACCGCAUGAUUUUGCUAUCAAAUAUUUAUAGGUAUGAGAUGGGCCCGCGUCUGAUUAGCUAGUUGGUGGGGUAAUGGCCUACCAAGGCGACGAUCAGUAGCCGGCUUGAGAGAGUGACCGGCCACAUUGGGACUGAGACACGGCCCAAACUCCUACGGGAGGCAGCAGUGGGGAAUACUGGACAAUGGGGGAAACCCUGAUCCAGCGAACCGCCGCGUGAGUGAAGAAGUAUUUCGGUAUGUAAAGCUCUAUCAGCAGGGAAGAUAAUGACAGUACCUGACUAAGAAGCCCCGGCUAACUACGUGCCAGCCGCUGC
rnacentral:rRNA from 1 species